UACGGAGGAGGCAAGCGUUAUCCGGAAUUAUUGGGCGUAAAGCGCACGUAGGCGGCAUUGCAAGUCGGAUGUGAAAUCCCUCGGCUUAACCAAGGAAGUGCAUCCGAAACUGCAGUGCUUGAGUACUUAAGAGGAUCGCGGAAUUCCCGGUGUAGAGGUGAAAUUCGUAGAUAUCGGGAGGAACACCAGUGGCGAAGGCGGCGAUCUGGGAAGAUACUGACGCUGAGGUGCGAAAGCGUGGGGAGCAAACAGG
rnacentral:rRNA from 1 species